GCCAGGUGCAGUGGCGCACGCCUCUAAUCCCAGCGGCUUGGGAGGCUGAGGCAGGAGGAUCACAGCUCAAAGCCAGCCUCAGCAACAGUGGGACACUAAGCCACUCAGUGAGACCCUGUCUCUA
rnacentral:sRNA from 1 species